UACGAAGGGGGCUAGCGUUGCUCGGAAUCACUGGGCGUAAAGCGCACGUAGGCGGCUUGUUAAGUCAGGGGUGAAAUCCUGGAGCUCAACUCCAGAACUGCCUUUGAUACUGGCGAGCUUGAGUUCGGGAGAGGUGAGUGGAACUGCGAGUGUAGAGAUGAAAUUCGUAGAUAUUCGCAAGAACACCAGUGGCGAAGGCGGCUCACUGGCCCGAUACUGACGCUGAGGUGCGAAAGCGUGGGGAGCAAACAGG
rnacentral:rRNA from 1 species